rnacentral:rRNA from 1 species
UCCGGAUCGAGGACAGUGUAUGGUGGGUAGUUUGACUGGGGCGGUCUCCUCCCAAAGAGUAACGGAGGAGUGCGAAGGUAACCUCAGCGCGGUCGGAAAUCGCGCAGUGAGUGCAUAGGCAUAAGGUUGCUUGACUGCAAGACAAACAAGUCGAGCAGGUACGAAAGUAGGUCUAAGUGAUCCGGUGGUUCUGUAUGGAAGGGCC